rnacentral:rRNA from 1 species
UACGAAGGGGGCUAGCGUUGCUCGGAAUCACUGGGCGUAAAGGGUGCGUAGGCGGGUCUUUAAGUCAGGGGGGAAAUCCUGGAGCUCAACUCCAGAACUGCCUUUGAUACUGAGGAUCUUGAGUUCGCUAGAGGUGAGUGGAACUGCGAGUGUAGAGGUGAAAUUCGUAGAUAUUCGCAAGAACACCAGUGGCUAAGGCGGCUCACUGGCCCGGUACUGACGCUGAGGUGCGAAAGCGUGGGGAGCAAACAGG